rnacentral:rRNA from 1 species
GAUGAACGCUGGCGGCGUGCCUAAUACAUGCAAGUCGAGCGAACAGACGAGGAGCUUGCUCCUCUGACGUUAGCGGCGGACGGGUGAGUAACACGUGGAUAACCUACCUAUAAGACUGGGAUAACUUCGGGAAACCGGAUCUAAUACCGUAUAAUAUAUUGAACCGCAUGGUUCAAUAGUGAAAUACGGUUUUUCUGUCACUUCUAGAUGGAUCCGCGCCGCAUUAGCUAGUUGGUAAGGUAACGGCUUACCAAGGCAACGAUGCGUAGCCGACCUGAGAGGGUGAUCGGCCACACGGGAACGGAGACACGGUCCAGACUCCUAAGGGAGGCAGCAGUAGGGAAUCUUCCGCAAUGGGCGAAAGCUUGACGGAGCAACGCCGCGUGAGUGAUGAAGGUCUUCGGAUCGUAAAACUCUGUUAUUAGGGAAGAACAAAUGUGUAAGUAACUAUGCACGUCUUGACGGUACCUAAUCAGAAAGCAACGGCUAACUACGUG